GGGGCUGUAGCUCAGUGGUAGAGCACUUGCCUACCAUGUGUAAGUCACUGGGUCCAAUCUUCAGCACCA
rnacentral:tRNA from 1 species